rnacentral:lncRNA from 1 species
UUUGUUGUAGAAAGUUCUUUAAACCAAACAUUUAAUCUAGGAUUUCAAUUUAAUCUGUUCCUUGAAUCUAUUUUUAUGUGGCCCUUGAGAAUAUAUCCCAAAAAAUUCCAUUGCUAAUACAGCAAUAAAAAUACUUUGGGUACUGACAGACUCCUUGGAGUGUGUAUAUAUAUAUAAAAUCACAAACUUGUAUUCAGACUCUUUCUGUGGUGUGUUGUUCUAGAAUCCAGAAUGGCUUUUGCACCAUUUUUUAAACCAGUCCUCCCACCCCCACCCCACCCCACCCCACCCCACGUCCCUUUUGCUAUUGGUACCAGAGUUGCUAUAAAUGACUGCUGCUUUAGGGGUUAAAUAUUUUGUUAGUGAAGAUACAACCAGAACACUAAAUUAUGAUAAACCUUUCUGACUGGGUGAUAGGUAAAUUUAGUUGGGUUAUAUUCAAAAUUAUUUUAAUUACCAAACCCAUACCAUUUGUUUUACUGGAGAAGUGGUUUGCUUUUUACUGCUGGGUCAUAUUUUGUGUAGUAAAGAAAUUCUUUGGUCAAUGUUGUAAUCUUUAUAUUUCAAUUUUAAGGUUUCCUUAUUUGUAUUAUAGUAAAUUGAUGAUUUUGAGAUUCAAGGCUCCUAAGAGUUUGAUUUGUUCCAUUUUGUCUUAAAAUAUUCUUUCUCAAUUGUUAGAUCUUAGAUAUUGUACUUCCAAUUUCAACUAAGAUGUCAACAUGAACCAGGCUACUGUUGAAGUACAUGUAUAUUAUAAAUUACCUUAUUUGUGUUAUUAUCUUUUCUAAGAAAACAAAGUCCCUAUUAUUCCUAUUGCAAAGCACACAGGAAUUUAAGAAAGUACAGUAAUUUUUAAAAAGAAAAUAUCCGGUAAAUGUAGUAUUCCUAACUUGUUCUAUAUUACUUAUACCUAUUGUCUAUAUAGCUUUAAUUUAUAGCUGUCAGUUUAACAUUGGCAUGUCUGGCAAAGAAAAUUAAACUUUAAGAGUUUUAUAAACUGUUUCUAGGUUGCUAAAGAAUUUAUUUUUCUACUAUAAAUGGUAUAGACAAAGCAUCGACUAUGUACAGGAUAAAAGCCUGACUAUUUCUAUUGGAAGUAGGCUUACGAGAGAAUUUUCAGAACUGUUCAUAUCUUUGGUUCCUUCUGUCCUAACUUUACUAUUGUAAUAUGUGAGUCCCAGUUUAUUUAAGCUAUUAUCUUUUAUAAUGUGUUAAUUUAACAUUCAUUUACAUUUAAAACUAUUUUUGUUAUUAAAAUUAGCAUUUAUAAGUUUCCACAUUAACCACCUUACACCUCUUCCAAACUGAUCUCUUACUUUUCUAUGCAUUCUAUCAUUGAUUUGACACACUACAUAGUGAGUCACUUAAAUAUUCUACAUCUGGUUCAUUUUACUACUAGGUUACAGAUAUUGAAAAUUAAAGUAUGGUUUAAAGCUCAGUCUGUUACACUGACUUGUGUUUGUUUUUGGACAAGGGUAUAGGUAUAUUUUUAAAUAUUAGAACAGUAAUUCUAAAAAGUGAUUAACAUAAUUAAAUCAUUUGUUGCUUGUAAGUUACUGGAACAUUGCACUGUUUAGGGACACACACAUACACACAUGUGUAUAUGAGACUAAAUGGAUUUAAAGAAUAGUAGAUAAUCUUAUAAUAAUGGUAGAUAAUCUUACAAUAAUGGGUCAACAUUGACAUUCACAAUAUUAAAAAAAUUCCAUCUAUACAUGUUGCCAUUGUUUCAUUUUAAAGAUCAGUGCUUAUUAUUCCAAUAUCAGGCUCAACCGUGUUUAGAUAAUAUAAAGAAGUAUAAAGGGGUCUCUGUUUCAGGCAUUUUUUAGUAGAUUUUUUUAGAAGUCAAAUUCUGUUUGUUAUGCACUUAUCAAGGUAUACAGAUAUCUUAACAAAAUUCCAGACACAAUCUCAGUGUUUAAAGUGAUAUUU